AUCUGUUAAUAAACUGAAAUCUAACAGCUGAGUACUGUUAUUUUUUUAUUUCAGAUAGGAUUUGGGAACGUCAGCAGAUAUGGCCUUUUAAAGCUAAUUGUUUUGAUAGACUGUUAUAAUUAUGUUUGAUACAUUCCAGCAAAGAAUCUGUUGAAACACUGGAUACAGUAUUUUUUGUUGAUGAUGAUCUAGCUGGUAAUAUAUUCAUUUCAGCUUCUGUUUCAGAUUUAUGAUGAUGAUGAAAAGGGAUUAUCAGCAAUUGUUGCUAAUGUACUGUCUUCAUGUGCUAUUUCCAUAUGCAUAUUUAUGUCCUUCAAAUUCGAGUUGAUUUUUCUUAUUUUUCUACGUUUAGUUGAUGGUGAUGAUGAAGAUGAUCAAGGUAGUAUGGUGUAGAUUAUAAACUAAUUUUUUUCCUUUUUUUUGAGCCAACUAUGUAGUUAGUACUGUCAUUAAUUCGUUUUUUUUUAGUUUCAUUAUUUAUUUUCGUAGGUUUACAUAACAAUGACGGUGGUGAUGAAGAUAGAUAGAUAGAUAGAUACUCUUUAUUGUACACAACAACAAUCAACACAAUAACAUAUUACAAAUAAAAAUAAAACA
rnacentral:misc_RNA from 1 species